rnacentral:lncRNA from 1 species
AAGCAGACCUUCCACAGCCCUAGGGUUUGAAAACUUGUAAAUGUAUUGCGAGCAAUCCCGCUUUAAAUCAAGAUUUCUUUCAGACUUGCACAUCUUCCCCUUUUUGGCAUAGACUUGUAACGACAGGGGAUGACCCCAUCGGACAACAAAAAUAAACCCUAACAUGAGCAAGGUCGAAGGCCCGAUUAUUUGUAGAUCGGAUGGGGGGAGAGGCCAUACAGCGCCCAUAUGCGCCCCUACAGCCAUGUUAGGG